rnacentral:rRNA from 1 species
UACGUAGGGUGCAAGCGUUGUCCGGAAUUAUUGGGCGUAAAGAGCGUGUAGGCGGCCCGAUUAGUCCGCUGUGAAAGUCCAGGGCUCAACCCUGGAAUGCCGGUGGAUACUGUCGGGCUAGAGUCCGGAAGGGGCGAGUGGAAUUCCUGGUGUAGCGGUGAAAUGCGUAGAUAUCAGGAGGAACACCUGUGGUGUAGACAGCUUACUGGACCACUUCUGACGCUGAGGCACGAAAGCGUGGGUAGCAAACAGG